rnacentral:lncRNA from 1 species
UACCAUACAAAGAUUUUGAUACCAUGGCAGGUGGGGACAAGUUUGGGAAUAUUAUUUUGUACUGCUACCGCAGGAUGUUUCUGAUGAGAUUGAAGAAGAUCCAACUAAUGGAAAGAUCCAAUGGGAGCAUGGGAAGCUGAUUGGGGCCCUAGACAAAAUAGAAGAAAUAAAUUCAGUUUUAGUGUCGUACAAUUUCUGGGGUUAUUGCUGAAUUCUUUGAUUCAAUUUUAGUUAGUUCAGAUUCGGCCACUCACCUGACAUAAAAAAAGUGGGACUUCAGGAAGCUCUACUGAUCCUCCAGUUCGUGAAGACAAAAACAGUUCAAAGGUUGACGAGCUCACACCGGUGACCGAAUUGAGAAGCAAUGAAGCAGAUCAAGGAAACUUCACUGGAUUUUCUAAGG